CCUCACCCUCGACGGCAUGCCUGCAAUUUCAACAAAGGAUUAGCAUAAGUCCAAAGACGGAUAAAGAAGACAAAAACGUCCAACUGACCAAACAAUACCUAAAUGGGGAACCAAAGUUAGGCCAGCAUCAUACAGAGCUUGCUCGGUGACGAGCUCCCUCUGCUUCGGUACUGACACAUCCUUCAGUCGGUGAAAAUCCUCUCAGUCUCCAGCCUCCACUCAACUAUUUUCAUUCGACUGAGUCCGAGGGUCGCCCCAGC
rnacentral:lncRNA from 1 species